rnacentral:rRNA from 1 species
GGGGCUUAAUAAAAUCUAUGGGGAUUUACUGUUCAACUCUUGGCGGGCGAACCGACGUCCCGACGAGCAGAUCUUGCAAGGUAGUUCUCGCGGUAGUCGUUACAACGUCUGUUGCUUAGGGCAAGAGUAAAACAAAGGGUACGGGAAGAAAGGUUAACCUUCGCUCUCCCUCCGGUUUUAAACGGGUUUCUGUUUAACCGGGGGUCUUAACCCGCUUUAAAACCCGGAUGUUAAAAAAAAGAACCCCCCAAACCGGUGUGUCCCCCUUAUAAAACCGAUCAACCGGGGGGGGAACCCGCAAAGGUUUCCCAUGAUCCACCGGGGGCCGGGGGUUUUUCUAUUUUUUCACCCCGGGGUUUAGGGUUGUUUUUAGCCGCCCCCCAAAAACGCCCCCGAAUAAUGGGGUCCCCCGGUGGGAAAAAUUCUUAAUUUUUGGGGGGGGCGGGGGUUAAAAAAAGUCUGUCCGGCCCGGCCAAGAGGUCGGGGCUUCCCAUUUUUAAAAGCUUUGUGGAAGUGGUGGAAAACUCCCCCCACCGUGACCUCCCACCCUCCGCAUGGGUAGGGGAGCCCCAAUUUGGGUACAAUCUUUGUGUGCGCCCUAUCUUUUUGGGGAGGGUGGCCCAAUGGGGGGAAAAAAAGAAAAAAGGGGAGGUUUGGGGGAAAAACUUUUUCGCGAGCGGUUUUGUUUUGAGGUCCGGGGGGUGGUUAUACAAAUUGGCCCCGCUUAAGGAAAAAGGAAUUUUGUUUUUGUUUGUAAAGGGGGUUUUAAAAAACCAAACCCCCUCCCCCGCCCUUGGGGGGGCCCAGAAACAGGGGGGGGGGGCCCGGGGAAAAACACAAAAAAUUCCCCCCUUUUUUUUGGGGGGACCCUCCCUGUUGGGGCUUUUAAAAAAACCCUUUUUGGGGCAACCCCCGGACCCCAUUUUGUGGUUAUGGUUGGGAACCACGGGGCCCGUUUUAAUAAAAAAAAAGAGGGGGGGGCCCGGGAGACCCCCGUGUCCGCCGGGGUGGGGAAAAAGAGGGC